CAACAAACGCCUGGCUGAUGUCCACCACUCCCCUGCACCAGACUAUUGUCCCGGUCAGAUGGUCUGGCUAUCGUCCCGUGACCUUCCCCUGCAGACUGAGUCCCUCAAGCUGUCUCCCUGCUUCAUUGGUCCCUUCCCUAUCCAGAAGAUUAUAAACCCAUCGGCGGUAAGACAAAAACUUCCCUCAUCCCUCAAAUUUCACCUCACGUUUCAUGUCUCCGUGAUUAAGCCUGUCACCUCGUGCACCCUGAGCCCUCCUUCUGUCGUCCCCUUCAGGAGCGGUCCUGGAUCUCCCACUCUCCCUCCCCCCCGGUCGCUGAGGCUGAGAGAGACUCCACACCUGCACUGCAUUGGCAAUCAUGGCCCUUGAAGAAGCCAGCAGCCCUAAGUCUCAGCGCCUGAGUAUUGUCUUCACUUCUGAGUGGUACAGACGCUUCUCCUGGCCGUCUCCUUGGACAAGUGCUUGUGACUUUUUUGUUCCCUGUGAUUCUUUGUAUGUCUUCUCACUUCCACCUCCUCUGCUUCUCCACAGUGUCUCCAGCCCACACAACAGCCAUCCAGCAAACCGGACUUUCUCUCGUGCCUUUUCCCCUGAGUUGGACAUUGAAUACAUCUUUAAUUUGCUAUCUGCUUCUCUGUCUGCUUUGGGUCCACAAAAUACACCACAC